CGGGAGCUCAUUGAAGAAUGAUAAACAGAGGAAGACAAGACUGUCGUGUCUCCAUCAGAUUCUCUAAGAAAUGUAUUCAGGCACUUGAUCUGAGGGAUUUUUAUUUCUAUUGAAACCGCCGACUGAAUCAGAAGCUUGAAAUUGUAAUUUUUGAAAUUUUUGACUUUAACGAGACUGAUUAUUCUAUAUGAUGAAAAACGCAAGUGGAUCUUCGUGGAAGAAGAAGACGAACCAGACGAACAUGGGAGGAGAGGAACGAUAGGAGAAAGCGCGAUGGUCGGUGCCAUU
rnacentral:lncRNA from 1 species